UGACUUCGGUGUGGGGAAUUUUGCCACGGC
rnacentral:piRNA from 1 species